UUGUUUUACAAACAAAUAUUAAAAAAAAGUUGUUUAUUAUUUUUUUUAAUAAAUUUUUUUUUACGUAUUUUUUUUAAUAAAUUUUUUUACGUAUUUUUUUUAUCUAAUGGAAAAAAUGGAAUUAAGAUAUAAUUUAGAACUAAAAGAUUUUUCUACUUUAAAACAUGUUGUGAGUAAUUAUGAGAAGAAUAAUCAUCAGCUCAUUAUUCUUCUCAAAAAGGAUUAAUUUUAGAUAAAAUUUCAUUAGUUUUACAAGAAUGGGAUAAGAAUAUAAUGAAAAAUAUUAAAAUGCCCAUAAAAUACAAACGAGGAUCAAUACACAAAAGGCCUAAAAAAAUGCAAAAAAAGAGUAUUAUUUAAAAAUUAUAAAAUAUUUCACAGUUAGCAAUUUUUGAAAAUGAUAUUAUAAUAUACAUGUAUUUUAAAAAAGAUUUUUCCCAAGCUAAUCAAAAUAUGACUGAAACGAUUAACCUACCACAUUCCAAUACAGAAAACACUCAACUAUAUGCAGUCAAAUUAUCUUCAUCUCAAAUUAUUUCAAAAAAUAUGUUAGGCACUCAAGUUAAGAUACCAGAGAGUAAACAUUUUACUUAACAAAAAAAUAGCAACAAACUUAUAUUCUCAAUAUCAUUUUCAAAAUAUACCAAAAAAUUUAGGCCCUCAGUCAAAAACUAUUCCAGCUACAUUCGAAUUCUCUUCAUCUCAAAAUAUUUCAAAAAAUAUAUUAGGCACUCAAAUUAAGCUACCAAAUACAACCAAAACUUUAGACUACAC